GUCCCGCGGUGCAAAACAACAACCUACCAAAGAUCAUACUGGAUAAGAACCAUCAGAACAUGGAACACAUUGACGGUCAUACUUGACUUGAGUAUGGAGAACUUCAACACAUUCAAGUCUGUAAUGCGAGAGUACUACCAUACUGCAUUAACGAACACAUACGAUUGUGAUGAUGUACGAACUUUUAAAACGAUUUGCCCGAAAUGCAAUAGAGCAAG